rnacentral:rRNA from 1 species
CAGCCGCCGCGGUAAUACGUAGGGUGCGAGCGUUAAUCGGAAUUACUGGGCGUAAAGCGUGCGCAGGCGGUUGUGUAAGACAGGUGUGAAAUCCCCGGGCUUAACCUGGGAACUGCGCUUGUGACUGCACAGCUAGAGUAUGGCAGAGGGGGGUGGAAUUCCACGUGUAGCAGUGAAAUGCGUAGAGAUGUGGAGGAACACCGAUGGCGAAGGCAGCCCCCUGGGCCAAUACUGACGCUCAUGCACGAAAGCGUGGGGAGCAAACGGGAUUAGAUACCCCCGUAGUCCCUGUCUCUUAUAC